UGAUUGCCCAAAACGUAAGGCAUGGUUCGAAAAGAAAGGGAUUCCUUACAACCCAAAGCCUAAAUCCAAAUGAAAAUUUUAUCUAUAUGGGGAAUCGGGUGAAAGCACCAGUUGAAGCCAUUGGAACUUUUCGUUUGAUUUUAGAUACUGGCCAUUAUUUGGAUUUGUUUCAAACUCUUUAUGUUCCGACUUGUUCUCGGAAUUUAAUUUCUGUUUCCAAACUUGAUCUUGAUGGUUUUACUUUCAAUAUUGGUAAUAAAAGUUUGAGUUUGUUUAAGAAUAAAUCUUUUGUUGGUUCUGGUAUUUUGAUUGAUGGGUUGUAUAAAAUUAAG
rnacentral:lncRNA from 1 species